AAGGGAAUUAAAAAAAUAAGCCCAUCCCAAAACUAGUAUAUCAUCGCUCACAGUAACAUUAUUCUUAAUAGCCAAAAAGUGGAAGCAGUCUAAAUGUCCAUCAAAUGAAUCGAUAAACAAAAUGUGGGCACAUCCAUACAAUGGAAUAUUAUUUUGCAAUUAAAAGGAAUAAAGUACUGAUACAUGUUACAACAGAGAUGAGCCUUGGAAACACGCUAAGCUGCCUGGCAAGAAUGCGGACAUAAUUGUAGUUAAUUGUCUUGGAUAUGUAGAUAAAAGCAACUCACUAACGAGGAAUAAGAUUGAAAACGUCUUGUCUCCUGGUACUAGAGAGUUAACCAAGAAGUCCUGGACAACAUUCUCCUAGACAAUCAGGUGGUGUUGCCAUAUCCUUCUGAUCUUUGAAUCUGAACUGGCCUUGGUGGCUCAGUAGUAAUGAACAGACAUAAAGGAACAAAAGUGACACUGCGUGCCUUCAGAAGCUAGAUCAUUAAAAAUAGCACUGCUUUUGCUCUGCCCACUGGAGCACUCAGGCUUGGACCCAUGAGCCACCAUAGUGGAACCACUCUGAUAUUGAUAUGCUGUGAAGAAACUCAAUCCACUGAAGAAACCACAGGUAGGGGCUCUAGUUGAAAGGUCCAGUUGUUAAAUUAACUCGCAUUACCUCUUGUCCCUCAAAGCUGCCUUAAGGCUUAUUUUGGAGUCACAUUGCUAAGCCUUGGGUUUUUAUGUCCUUAAUUUGUUAAUCAGUGUAUUUUCUGAGAUUUACCAGGAAAUGCAGUUGACAGCACAGUUCCAAUAAUUAUUGGAAGAACAAGGUCAG
rnacentral:lncRNA from 1 species